ACAAAACAGCAACAAUUUAUACCAAACGAGCAAGGGAAAAGGCAAAUGGAAAGAUACAGCGAAUGAUAAAAAGGUGUUAGAGUAAAUAUAAGGGUCUCUGCUCUGGGCUGAUGGUGAUUUGGAAGUGAAGACAUAGGUGAUGGAGCAGUAAUCCAUAGAGAAACAUGCACUGCCUUAGGCACAUCCUCAUGAAUUUGAGAGGUUGAAGAUCCUAUACCCAUCAGGCCUGAUCAAAGGAGAGUUUCUGAACUGGAGAAGAUAAUCAUAGACAAGAGUGAGCCCAAGUCCUGCCCUGCCUUUCCAGAAGGUUUAGAGUUGUUUGGACAGUUCUGAUUAGAAAUGACAUGUAGCAAUGGUUGUUCCA